CGUACACGCUGUGACUAGCAUAUCAAUAAGCGGAGGAAAAGAAACUAACAAGGAUUCCCCUAGUAACGGCGAGUGAAGCGGGAAGAGCUCAAAUUUGAAAUCUUAAAGGGUUUCCCUUUACGAAUUGUAGUUUAAAGAAGUGUUUUCUGUUGAGGUUUUGGUAAAAGUUCUUUGGAAUAGGACAUCAUAGAGGGUGAGAAUCCCGUAUUUGACCUUUACUUUCAACUUUGUGAUACACUUUCAAAGAGUCGGAUUGUUUGGGAAUGCAGUCCAAAAUGGGUGGUAAAUUUCAUCUAAAGCUAAAUAUUGGCGAGAGACCGAUAGCGAACAAGUACCGUGAGGGAAAGAUGAAAAGAACUUUGAAAAGAGAGUUAAACAGUACGUGAAAUUGUCAAAAGGGAAGCGUUUGACACCAGUGUUGUUUUUCUGAAAAUCAAUUAAAGAACUGUUUAUGCUAAGUUGUUUAGACUUUAUCAGCUAACUGUUUAGUUUGAGCUUUUCUUUAAUGCACUUUUCAGUUAACAAGUCAACAUCAAUUUCUUUUGCUGUAAAAAAGCUUGAGGAAGGUGGCUUGAGAUUCGUCUUAAGUGUUUAUAGCCUCUUGCCUAUGCAGUCGGAGAGAUUGAGGUCUGCAGCGUAGAUCCUUCGGGGCUAAAUGCAUUUGUGCUAAGUUAUAGCAUUUUAUAGACAACUUGUUGACUAUGAUUUGUCUUGUAGCUUACUCGCUUAUGUUAUUUUACCUACGCUUAGGAUGUUGAGUCGUAGAGCACGCAG
rnacentral:rRNA from 1 species